AUUCCAGCUCCAAUAGCGUAUAUUAAAGUUGUUGCAGUUAAAAAGCUCGUAGUUGAAUUUCUGUACAGUCCCGGUUCUGGCUUCGGUCAAGCCGUGGAUUGUGCAUCCGCUUGCAAAUCUAGCUCGGCCUUCACUGGUCGACUAGGGGAGUAAGCCCUUUACUUUGAAAAAAUUAGAGUGUUUCAGGCAGGCAAUGGCUCGAAUACAUUAGCAUGGAAUAAUGGAAUAGGACUUUUGUCCAUUUGGUUGGUUAUUGGACAUGAGUAAUGAUUAAAAGGGACAGUUGGGGGUAUUAGUAUUUAAUAGUCAGAGGUGAAAUUCUUGGAUUUAUUAAAGACUAACUUAUGCGAAAGCAUUUGCCAAGGAUGUUUUCAUCA
rnacentral:rRNA from 1 species